UACGGGGGGGGCAAGCGUUGUUCGGAAUUACUGGGCGUAAAGGGCUCGUAGGCGGCCAACUAAGUCAGACGUGAAAUCCCCAGGCUCAACCUGGGAACUGCGUCUGAUACUGGAUGGCUUGAAUCCGGGAGAGGGAUGCAGAAUUCCAGGUGUAGCGGUGAAAUGCGUAGAUAUCGGGUGGAACACCUGUGGCGAAGGCGGCCAUCUGGACGUUCACUGACGCUGAGACGCGAAAGCGUGGGUAGCAAACAGG
rnacentral:rRNA from 1 species